CGAUAAACAUAUUUUGGGAAAAAAAAUAAAAUUUUUUGUUUUUUUUUUAAUCCUACUUCCGUAAACAGGCAAACAAGGAACUCCUAAGAUGUGCAAUCCUUGCUUCCGUUCAAUGCCCGGCACCUGCUGUGGACCUACUGGUGGUCUGGGACCGUGCCUCCUGUGUGGACCCUACAACGGCCAGUGGUUCCGGUCGAUCAAUCACUGCUGCGGCCCGUGCGGACCAUAUGGCUGCUGCUCCUGCUAUGGGCCCUAUGGGGGACACUGUUAGCCUGCUUAGAAGGAAAGUAGGAUCCACCACCGAUUACCAAAAUCAAUCGCGAGACCUUGGAUCAGAAGAAACUACAUUCUGGACAGAAGUGGAACCAAAUUGGAAUGUGCCCAAAAAAGGGCCGUUCUCUAGCGAACAUCUCUUGAUUAAAAACUACAAGAAAUAAGACUGGUGUAAAUAAAUUAUUUGAUGUAAUUUUUUUCCUCACA